AAUUUUUAUGAGGAGAGAAAAUACAGGUUUCAUCUUGGGCAGAGUUUGUAAAUCAAUUAAGGUAAGAUCCAAAAAUAAGUAUGAGGAUUUUUAUUCUCUGCUGUCUUUUUUCAUAGAUGUUGAAGAUUUUCCUAGACAUUUAUAUUUUUAAAUCCUAUUAAAACAAUGAGGUUUGGCAAUUAGUUCUGUCCAGGAUUAAUUUCAUGCAGGAAUAUACAUCUGUAGGUUUAAUUUUAUGGAUAUAUACAUACACACAUACCUAGUUUAGUGGUUCCUUUGUAAUUAAAUAGAUUAUGUAGGCAAUAUGAGGACUUGUGAAUACGUCUCCAGUUGUUACCAUGGAAACAGAAUUUUUAGAGUUGCUCUGUAGAGUGGUGUGAUGCUGAUUAAAGAGUUUAAGCACUUCAUUUUAAAAUUAGUUGAAAGAGUCAGCCAGGAAGAAGCUUCAUCUUGCUGGGUGGGUGGGGCCACCCAUGCCAGGCUGCCACAGCCAUGACUCUACUUUUCAAGCUGUUUGAUCUAAGGAGGUCAGGAGGUCUCCCUAACUCGCAUUUCAUCAACCUCAACAGCACAUGGUUUCAAAUAUCAAGGGAAAAAUUGUCUGAUGGCCAGUUGUGUGGCAAAACUGCUUGUGGCGAAAGUUCUUAUGGAAAAAAUACCUUGACUAAAACAACAAUGACCGUUACGUUGUUACGAAAUGCUUUGAAAAUUGGCUCCACUUUUCACUAGCUUCCUUAUUUUUUUUUGGCAGAGUUUACCCUCCUUGUCUUCUGGCUGCUAUUUGCAUGUUGCAGGCUUUGUUGUAUGUUGGUUUCCACGCGUUGGGAGUGAAAUGGUUACGUAUCUAGCCUGUUUGUCUUCCCUUCUGGCUGUGAGCACUGCUGUCCUCUGAGGUCCUGUAGCCCCUGGAAUGGUAGACCUGAAGGCAGUAAGAAGAGGACAGAAGAGUGUGCAAGCAGAAGGCUCAGCUGCCAUGUCACAGCCAGCUUGUGGGCAGACAACAGAGGACAUCUAACUGCUUUAAAUGUGCAUUUUUGAUUACUGUUACAAAUAAAGAUGCCCCCCCCUUGAUGGCUUGCA
rnacentral:lncRNA from 1 species